rnacentral:rRNA from 1 species
UCGAACGGUGACGGAGAGCUUGCUCUUCUGAUCAGUGGCAAACGGGUGUGUAACACGUGAGUAACCUGCCGUUAUGUGGGGGAUACCCAUUCGAAAGGAUGGUUAAUACCGCAUAGUGCGCGGAGACCGCUUGGUUUCCGCGGGAAAGCUUAAUGCGCAUAACGAUGGACUCGCGGCCUAUCAGCUAGUUGGUGAGGUAAUGGCCCACCAAGGCAUCGACGGGUAGCCGGCCUGAGAGGGUGAUCGGCCACAUUGGGACUGAGACACGGCCCAGACUCCUACGGGGGGCAGCAGUUGGGAAUCUUGCGCAAUGGGGGAAACCCUGACGCAGCGACGCCGCGUGCGGGAUGACGGUCUUCGGAUUGUAAACCGCUUUUUCCAGGGACGAUAAUGACGGUACCUGGUGAAUAAGCCCCGGCUAACUCCGUGCCAGCAGCCGCGGUAAGACGGAGGGGGCAAGCGUUGUCCGGAAUUACUGGGCGUAAAGCGCUCGUAGGCGGUCUUGUACGGCGGUGGUAAAAGCUCCCGGCUCAACUGGGAGAGGCCCGUCGCAACGGCGAGACUUGAGGUUGGUAGAGGCAGAUGGAAUUCCUGGUGUAGCGGUGAAAUGCGUAGAGAUCAGGAGGAACACCCAUGGCGAAGGCAGUCUGCUGGGCCACACCUGACGCUGAGGAGCGAAAGCCAGGGGAGUGAACGGGAUUAGAUACCCCGGUAAUCCUGGCUGUAAACGAUGGUAACUAGAUGUCAGCGGUAUCGACCCCGCUGGUGUCGCAGCUAACGCGUUAAGUUACCCGCCUGGGGAGUACGGCCGCAAGGUUGAACUCAAA